GACGAACGCUGGCGGCGUGCCUAAUACAUGCAAGUAGAACGCUGAAGAGAGGAGCUUCCUCUUCUUGGAUGAGUUGCGAACGGGUGAGUAACGCGUAGGUAACCUGCCUUGUAGCGGGGGAUAACUAUUGGAAACGAUAGCUAAUACCGCAUAACAAUGGAUGACACAUGUCAUUUAUUUGAAAGGGGCAAUUGCUCCACUACAAGAUGGACCUGCGUUGUAUUAGCUAGUAGGUGAGGUAAUGGCUCACCUAGGCGACGAUACAUAGCCGACCUGAGAGGGUGAUCGGCCACACUGGGACUGAGACACGGCCCAGACUCCUACGGGAGGCAGCAGUAGGGAAUCUUCGGCAAUGGGGGCAACCCUGACCGAGCAACGCCGCGUGAGUGAAGAAGGGUUUCGGAUCGUAAAGCUCUGUUGUAAGUCAAGAACGGGUGUGAGAGUGGAAAGUUCACACUGUGACGGUAGCUGACCAGAAAGGGACGGCUAACUACGUG
rnacentral:rRNA from 1 species